GCCGAGAAGCGAGGGUGCAAAGAGAGGAUGGCCACUGCAGGCCGGGUGCCUGGGAUCCGCUAGCGCAGCGUGGAGACCCGCUCCUGAAGAGAGUACAGGGAUACCCACGGAUGCACCCCCCUCAGGCCGAGCUUUCUUCUGGUGAUUUCUAUCCCUUACAUCUCUCCUCAGAGACUCAGCUCGACCCAGAUCCUUCCAGGGGCGCGGCGGGGUGGGGGUGGGGGUGGGGGUUGUCCUGCAACGAGGCAGUGACGGCGCUACGGAGAGGCGGAGCGCACCGCAGUGCCUGGGCUAGGCCCUCCGCUGGGGAAUACCUCUGUUCCUGUUGGGUCCCGGAACUCUGGUGCUGGAAGGCAACACCAGAUCUGCAUCCUCAAGUCUCCUACCCAAGGCCCAGAAUCUUUCGUCCCAUUGAGCGCACAAGAAUAGCACCGAGUGACUGGGUAUCAUUGAUAACACCUAGCCUCCCUUUCAGCGUUUACUAUAUACCUGCCAUUUGCGGUGGAUACCUUGAACAAAAUAUAAGUUGGGAAAUCUUUGCUGUGACUCCAGACAUGCUAGUUGCGCAACUGUAGUAUUUAAGGUUGCCAGAAAGCCGUGCUCCAAAGUUGAAAAAAGAAGUAGAAAGGAAGGUAGGGGGGGAGAAAGGAGGAGGGAGAGUGAGGGACGGAGGGAAGGGACGAAAGUAGUUGGGGGUGAACUCCUGGCAGGAUUUCCGCUAGUCCUAUGGCGGACUACAUAUCCCAGGAAGCUAAGGGGCCCGGGACGCGUUUUCCACUCUGACCCACUCAUCCACUAGCAGAAGACUUUACUAAGACUGGUCACAGCGCAGGCCAAUCCUUCUCCUCUCACCUUGGCUAGAACUUGCGACGGAUUCGUUCCCAAAGUGAUGCUCUAGUGGCAAGAGUAACACAAGUUUGUCAUUGUCCGGAGAAAGUGGAGCCUGCGGUUCUUAACCAGGUUCAGCAGAACGUGUGGCAUCCUUCUCCUGGACAUGCCACCGCUCGGGUUGUGACAUUCUUGGGCACAGCAUAGUCCCACGCGCGGACCCCGCACGUCAAGCGACACUUUAGGGACUUUGACUGCUGCUAGGACUGACCACCGUCCUCCUACCUACCCAGGCUAGCUCCGUCCACUUAGCACGUUUGCAUUUAUUCGUGGAUCUUCCAAGACUCGGUCUUGUAAAUGUUCAGCAUUUCGCUGCUUUCCUGCCUUUUUCUGGGGACUGUGCCAGCACUUGCCCAGACCGGCGGAGAGAGGAGGCUGAGCCCAGAGAAGAGCGAAAUAUGGGGACCCGGGCUAAAAGCACACGUGGUCCUUCCUGCCCGCUAUUUCUACAUUCGGGCGGUGGAUACCUCAGGGGAACAGUUUACAUCUUCUCCAGGUGAAAAGGUGUUCCAGGUUAAAAUCUCAGCACCCGAUGAGCAGUUCACGAGAGUUGGUGUCCAGGUUUUAGAUCGAAAGGACGGUUCCUUCAUAGUAAGAUACAGAAUGUAUGCCAGCUACAGAAAUCUGAAGAUAGAGGUUAAACACCAUGGGCAACAUGUUGCCGAGUCUCCUUAUGUUUUAAGAGGACCAGUUUACCAUGAGAACUGUGACUGUCCUUUGGAAGACAGUGCAGCCUGGCUACGGGAGAUGAACUGUUCGGAAACAAUCUCUCAGAUUCAGAAAGAUCUGGCACAUUUCCCUACUGUUGAUCCUGAAAAGAUUGCAGCAGAAAUCCCAAAACGAUUUGGGCAGAGGCAAAGCCUGUGUCACUAUACCUUAAAGGACAAUAAGGUUUAUAUCAAGACUCAUGGUGAGCACGUUGGCUUUAGGAUUUUCAUGGAUGCAAUACUACUUUCAUUGACUAGAAAGGUGAGGAUGCCAGAUGUGGAAUUUUUUGUUAAUUUGGGAGACUGGCCUUUGGAAAAAAAGAAAUCCAACUCCAACAUUCAGCCGAUCUUUUCCUGGUGUGGCUCCACAGAGUCCAGGGAUAUUGUGAUGCCUACCUACGACCUGACUGACUCUGUUCUAGAAACCAUGGGCCGGUGAGAGAUGAUCAGGGUUGACCCCGAGCCUUGGUUUGCUCUCUUUGAGUAAGUCUGGAUAUGAUGUCGGUGCAAGCUAACACAGGGCCUCCCUGGGAAAGUAAGAAUUCCACAGCUGUCUGGAGGGGCCGAGACAGCCGCAAAGAGAGACUAGAGCUGGUGAAGCUUAGCAGAAAACACCCAGAGCUCAUCGAUGCUGCUUUCACAAAUUUUUUCUUCUUUAAACAUGACGAAAGCCUGUAUGGGCCCAUCGUGAAACACAUUUCAUUUUUUGAUUUCUUCAAGCACAAGUAUCAGAUAAAUAUUGAUGGCACUGUGGCAGCGUACCGAUUGCCCUACCUGCUGGUGGGUGACAGUGUCGUUCUGAAGCAGGACUCCAUCUACUAUGAACACUUUUACAAUGAGCUGCAGCCCUGGAAACAUUACAUUCCAGUCAAAAGUAACCUAAGCGAUCUGCUAGAAAAGCUCAAGUGGGCAAAAGAGCAUGAUGCAGAGGCCAAGAAGAUAGCAAAAGCAGGACAAGAAUUUGCGAGAAAUAAUCUAAUGGGUGAUGAUAUAUUCUGUUAUUACUUCAAACUGUUCCAGGGCUAUGCAAAUUUACAAGUGAGCGAGCCCCAAAUUCGAGAGGGUAUGAAGAGGGUAGAGCCACAAUCCGAGGAUGACCUCUUCCCUUGCACGUGCCAUAGGAGAAAGGCCAAAGAUGAACUCUGAGAAGCAAAAUAUCUUCUGUUCAAAUCAUGGUGCUCUGAGGACACUUUACUAUAAAGGUUAUUUUUAAGUAUGUUUCACAGACAAUGUCAAAUUUACGUGUGCCCAUUCACUUUCUCACAGUAUUUCGUCUUAUGCAGUGUUCCCAUGACUGUCUUUUACAUCACAUUUUAAAAUUUUUAUAAUAAAACUGCCUUUAUUUUAAGGGUCUGUUUUGUUACAGUUAUUACCUAUGAGCAGAAGAAAUAGGCGAGUUUGGGUCCUUGAUUCUGGUGAGUGCUCUGAUUCAAACAGGCCUCCAAAAGCAAAACAAAACUCAGCCAAUUGUGGUGGUUCAUGCCUAUAAUCCUAGCACUUCAGAGGUUAAGACAAGAAGAUUCUGUGAGUUCAAGGCCAGUCUGAGCUACAUAGUAAGUUGGAAGACAAUAAGACUCUGUUUUAAAAUGCAAAUGACUCUGUCUGUUUUAAGCUCUUUUUCUUUUGGAAUAACUACUCAUUGAGUCUCAGUCAAACCUCAUUCUAAUAAAACAUGCUAGAGCUGCCUUUAUCUGGCCUCUGCCUCUGUUGGUAGUCAAACCUAUUACCACUUAUUACAAAUCCUGUCACCGCCCACCCAAUGCUCGUUUCCCUCCGGCCCUGGUAUUUGUUUUUCCCUUUUUCUGGAAGUCAGGAUCGACUCUACUUUCUCUAGCUCCUUUCAGGAAUGUAACACCUCUGAUUCUUUAUAUUAUGUAGUCGCCAUACUUUGCAGUAGUUCCCUGUAGACUCUCCCCUAAUCCUCAGUCCUUAAGCAUCUUGAUUACAAAGAUGAUUCUUUUGGGGUCUAACAGGUUUCCCUGAUUGUGGAAGGGACAACAAAUUUUAAUGGGUCAAUAAAAUGACAAUUAGCUUGAAAAUGCAAUUAAAGAACUAGCUAGGGGCCAGGCAUGCUAGUCCAUGAGUCCCACCACUGAAGUUUCUCCUCCAGUUAGAUAAAGCUCACACACAACAGUCAACCUACUUUACUCCAAGUUCACUGAUUUUAAUGUUAAUCUCUUUGAAAAAUACCCUGACUGAAACAUCCAAGAUGUUUGACCUUAUGUUGGGGAUGGCCCAACCAAGUGAACCAUUACUAAUGGGGAUUCAUACAAUAAAUGUUGAACACAUAAUAUGCAUUCAGUUAUAUAAUACCAAGCUCCAAUAAAAGAGCUUUAAAUAGCCACUGGUUGGGUUUUUUUGGUUUUGUUUUGUUUUGUUUUGUUUUUCAGAUAUCUACUGGAACUGUUCAUAUUUUCUUUUUCUGUUUUUGUUGCAUUCAUUUACAGUGAAUUGUACUAAUGACGUUUUAAUUUUGAAGCAAUGUAAAAAGCCAUGCAAAUUACGUAUUAUUUAUUUGGUCAUGGCUGAAUUGUUAUAGUAAUUGAUUCAGACAUUCACUGUUUUGUUUUUGGUUUUGGUUUUUUGCAAGUUUUACUUCUUCAGAAUUUUAUGCAAUGUGGUCAUUUAAUAACUUAUGUUGUAUUUUUCUUUUUCUUUCUUUCUUUUUUUUUUCUUUGACAUGGUCUUACUAGGUAAUCGUGGUUGACCUGGAACUCUCUAUGUAGAGCAGUCUGGCUUCAAACUCAUAGAGUUCUACCUGCCCCUGCCUUCUGAGUGCUGGGAUUAAAGGAGUAGACCACCAUACCAGGCCUUGAUUUAGGACAUUUUAAACUACAACCCAAAUCUGGCCCACCAUCCAUGUUUGUACAACCUUGAGACUAAGAAUAAUAUUAGCAUUUUAAGUGGUUGAAAUCAUCAGUACACAUAUGUCUUAGUCAGGGUUUCAAUUCCUGCACAAACAUCAUGACCAAGAAGCAAGUUGGGGAGGAAAGGAUUUAUUCGGCUUACACUUCGGCUUACACUUCCAUACUGCUGUUCAUCACCAAGGAAGUCAGGACUGGAACUCAAAAAGUCAGGAAGCAGGAGUUGAUGCAGAGGCCAUGGAGGGAUGUUCCUUACUGGCUUGCUUCCCCUGGCUUGCUUAGCCUGCUCUCUUAUAGAACCAAGACUACCAGCCCAGAGAUGGUCCCACCCACAAAGGGCCUUUCCCCCUUGAUCACUAAUUGAGAAAAUACCCCACAGCUGGAUCUCAUGGAGGUACUUCCCCAACUGAAGCUCCUUUCUCUGUGAUAACCCCAGCCUGCAUCAAGUUGACACAUAAAACCAGCCAGUACAACAUAGAACUCAAAUUUUGGUUCAUAAAUAACGGUUUUAUAUUAGUUUCCUAUUACUAUCCUAUUCCUAUAAGUAUCACAUACUUAGUCCUCUAAAACAAUAAAAAUGUGUUGUUACAAUCCUAGAAGUCACAAUCUGAAAUGUUUCCCUGGGUUAAUUAAUAUUAAGACAUUUAGCAGGGCUGAAUCCUUCUGAUGUAUGGGGUGGGGGUUUCCUAGCCUCUUUUUUUUCUUCUUCUUCUAAUGGGGCAUUCUUAACAUUUCUUGCCUUGAGAACCCUCUCUCCAUCUUCCUAGCCUUCAGCUUAAUCUCUUAAAAUCUCCCUCUGCUUCUCUCUCAAAAGCACCACUGUCUUAUCUGAACACUGUAGCAAUAUGAUUCACAAUAAGCCAAAUGUUCACAAACUAGUAAACGGAUACAUAAAACUGUUUAAUAGGAUUCAGUGAUAGGAAUUAUUUGAGAAGAAGAAGCAGGGUACACUUACACAUUCCAAGUGCAAGGUGACAGAUCAAAGAUCUCAUUCUGUGACUCCAUUCAAUAGUCACAAAUCAUAUUGGUGGGUGUCUGGUGUGAAAGGUAAGAGAGGGAAUGGUAAGUUUCCUCUAGAAAUGAUAAGAUGCCCUUAGAAUUUGAUGAUAGCUGCAAAUGAGUGUACAAUUACUGGAAAUUGAAACUUAGGACAGGUAAAUAAAGCAUAGAAAAGGUAUCAGACCUGAGCUGGCAAUGUGUUAGUGGUAGAGCGGACAGUGGCAGUACGGACUCCAUUAAGGGACAGAUCACACCAUAAGCACACCCACGUCUAGAGGUCACCUUGAUUAUGUCAUUGGUUGGUUAGUCGGGUUUGUUGUUUUCAUGUUUUUCUGCAGGAAUCUUGUGAAUGAUACAAUGUAAACUGUUUCCAUUCUUGCAAGAAUUGGUGACCAUAAACUGUUUCAUGGUAUGUUCACUGUCUACUCAGAGUAUGUACCAUUCCUAUGCUCAUAAAAAUAACUCCAAAA